rnacentral:rRNA from 1 species
UACGUAGGGUGCGAGCGUUGUCCGGAAUUAUUGGGCGUAAAGAGCUCGUAGGCGGUCUGUCGCGUCGGGUCGUGAAAACUUGGGGCUUAACCCUGAGCUUGCGGUCGAUACGGGCAUGACUGGAGUUCGGUAGGGGAGACUGGAAUUCCUGGUGUAGCGGUGAAAUGCGCAGAUAUCAGGAGGAACACCGGUGGCGAAGGCGGGUCUCUGGGCCGAUACUGACGCUGAGGAGCGAAAGCGUGGGGAGCGAACAGG